rnacentral:rRNA from 1 species
UACAGAGGGUGCGAGCGUUGUCCGGAAUCACUGGGCGUAAAGGGCGCGUAGGUGGCGCCGCAAGUCCAUGGUGAAAGCUCGAUGCUCAACAUCGAGUCGGCCACGGAGACUGCGGGGCUCGAGCACUGUAGGGGCAGAUGGAAUUCCGGGUGUAGCGGUGGAAUGCGUAGAGAUCCGGAAGAACACCGGUGGCGAAGGCGGUCUGCUGGGCAGUUGCUGACACUGAGGCGCGGACAGCGUGGGGAGCAAACAGG